rnacentral:rRNA from 1 species
AACGCGAAGAACCUUACCAAGGCUUGACAUCCCUCUGACCGGUCUAGAGAUAGGCCUUUCCCUUCGGGGACAGAGGUGACAGGUGGUGCAUGGUUGUCGUCAGCUCGUGUCGUGAGAUGUUGGGUUAAGUCCCGCAACGAGCGCAACCCUUACUAUUAGUUGCCAUCAGGUUAAGCUGGGCACUCUAAUAGGACUGCCUACGCAAGUAGUGAGGAAGGUGGGGAUGACGUCAAGUCCGCAUGGCCCUUACGCCUAGGGCCACACACGUGCUACAAUGGAUGUUACAAUGGGUUGCCAAACCGCGAGGUGGAGCCAAUCCCAUAAAGGCAUCCUCAGUUCGGAUUGGAGUCUGAAACUCGACUCCAUGAAGUUGGAAUUGCUAGUAAUCGCGCAUCAGCAUGGCGCGGUGAAUACGUUCCCGGGUCUUGUACACACGC